ACGCUCGACACCUACGGGAGGCAGCAGUGGGGGAGUAUUGCACAAUGGGCGGCAAGCCUGAUGCAGCGACGCCGCGUGAGGGAAGACGGUCUUCGGAUUGUAAACCUCUGUCUUCGGGGACGAUAAUGACGGUACCCGAGGAGGAAGCCACGGCUAACUACGUGCCAACAGCCGCGGUAAUCUGAGCGGGCUGGCAAGGC
rnacentral:rRNA from 1 species